AAACAGAGAACUGCAGCUGUAAUUAAUAAUAUUAGAAGAACUUAAAAGAAAUUGAAUUGAAUAAUUAGUUGAUUGAGGAGUUGCUGAAGAAAUAUAAAACAAGGAUGCAGAAAAGGGGAGGUAUGGGGAAGUCCGGAAAGUAAGGUUUAUGAAAAAUGGCUAUGAAAUUAUACAUGUUUAUAUGUUUGUAUGUCGGUGUUUUGUGUAUUGUUUGCUUUCUUAUCUUAUGUUUGGAAAAUUAAUAAAAAUUUAUUA
rnacentral:lncRNA from 1 species